rnacentral:rRNA from 1 species
AACGAACGCUGGCGGCAGGCUUAACACAUGCAAGUCGAACGCAUCGCAAGAUGAGUGGCAGACGGGUGAGUAACGCGUGGGAACAUACCCUUUUCUACGGAAUAGCUCUGGGAAACUGGAAUUAAUACCGUAUACGCCCUACGGGGGAAAGAUUUAUCGGGGAAGGAUUGGCCCGCGUUGGAUUAGCUAGUUGGUGGGGUAAAGGACUACCAAGGCGACGAUCCAUAGCUGGUCUGAGAGGAUGAUCAGCCACAUUGGGACUGAGACACGGCCCAAACUCCUACGGGAGGCAGCAGUGGGGAAUAUUGGACAAUGGGCGCAAGCCUGAUCCAGCCAUGCCGCGUGAGUGAUGAAGGCCUUAGGGUUGUAAAGCUCUUUCACCGAUGAAGAUAAUGACGGUAGUCGGAGAAGAAGCCCCGGCUAACUUCGUGCCAGCCGCCGCCGUAAAAC